UUCAAUUUUAUUUAUUUUUUGUUUUUAUGUAUUUAUAUAUGUCUUCAUUGUUUUUUAUAUUUUUAAAUGUAAUACAUAUGUAUAAUAAUAUUUUAUGGUUAUAAGAAAAUCAAGCUAAAGAAAUCAUCUUCGUUCUUUUACUUUGGAUGUUUGUUUCUUUCUCACAUAUUCAUGUAUAUUUAAUUUAUUUUCAAAAGUAUGUAAUUUUUUAACAAAAUAAACUUUUUGUUAUAUAAUUAUCAAACCAAUUUGUAAGACAUUCUUUUAAGA
rnacentral:lncRNA from 1 species